CAGAUGACUGAUUAGUAGCGAACGGGUGAGUAACACGUGGGAAAUCUACCCAUGAGUGGGGAAUAACAUUCGGAAACGGAUGCUAAUACCGCAUAAGUUCUUUGACCUCCUGGUCUUUGAAUAAAAGACGGCCUUUGUGCUGUCUCUCAUGGAUGAUCCCGCGGCGUAUUAGUUAGUUGGUGAGGUAAUGGCUCACCAAGACCAUGAUACGUAGCCGACCUGAGAGGGUGAUCGGCCACACUGGGACUGAGAACGGCCCAGACUCCUACGGGAGGCAGCAGUAGGGAAUCUUCCACAAUGGGCGAAAGCCUGAUGGAGCAAUGCCGCGUGAAUGAAGAAGGUCUUCGGAUCGUAAAGUUCUGUUAUUAGAGAAGAAAGAAUCAAGGACUAACUAUCUUGAUUUUGACGGUACCUAACCAGAAAGUCACGGCUAACUACGUGCCAGCAGCCGCGGUAAUACGUAGGUGACGAGCGUUGUCCGGAAUUAUUGGGCGUAAAGGGAGCGCAGGCGGUUGGAACAGUCUGAUGUGAAAGCCCACGGCUUAACCUGGGAAUUGCUUCUAAAACUGGCGGACUAGAGUAUGGUAGAGGGUGGUGGAAUUUCCUGUGUAGCGGUGAAAUGCGUAGAUAUAGGAAGGAACAUCAGUGGCGAAGGCGACC
rnacentral:rRNA from 1 species